rnacentral:rRNA from 1 species
GACGGAGGGUGCUAGCGUUGUUCGGAAUUACUGGGCGUAAAGGGCGCGUAGGCGGCCUGUUAAGUCGGGUGUGAAAGCCCGGGGCUCAACCCCGGAACGGCUCCCGAGACUGGUGGGCUUGAGACCGAGAGAGGAGAGUGGAAUGCCCAGUGUAGAGGUGAAAUUCGUAGAGAUUGGGUGGAACACCAGUGGCGAAAGCGGCUCUCUGGCUCGGUGCUGACGAUGAGGCGCGAAAGAGUGGGGAGCAAACAGG